GGUUGAUCCUGCCAGUAGUCAUAUGCUUGUCUCAAAGAUUAAGCCAUGCAUGUCUAAGUAUAAACAUCUUUAUACAGUGAAACUGCGUACAGCUCAUUAUAUCAGUUAUUAUUUAUUUGAUGGUACCUUACUACAUGGAUAACCGUAGUAAUUCUAGAGCUAAUACAUGCGUAAAGUCCCAACUCUUGCGGGAAGGGAUGUAUUUAUUAGAUAAAAAAUCAAUGUAAGUGUUAAAGCUUAUUUUUAUUGGUGAUUCAUAGUAACUGUUCGAAUCGUAUGGUUUUAUACUAACG
rnacentral:rRNA from 1 species